UGAAGAUGAUUUGCCUUACCAUGUUCGUGUUCUUCCCUCUGGAGACCUCAAAACUGUUGGGCGAAACAAUUUCAAUGGCCAACUCAAGAGUACAAUGAUUGCUCAUCCAAAAGUCGACCCAUCUUCUGGGGAAUUGUUUGCUCUUAGCUACGAUGUUGUCCAGAAGCCAUAUCUGAAAUAUUUCAGAUUUUCUGCCGAUGGUAAAAAGUCUCCUGAUGUUGAAAUCUCACUUGAUCAGCCAACCAUGAUGCAUGAUUUUGCCAUUACUGAGAGGUUCGUUGUUAUUCCUGAUCAACAAAUAGUGUUCAAAUUGCCCGAAAUGAUUUGCGGUGGCUCACCGGUAAUCUACGACAAGAAGAAGAUGUCAAGGUUUGGGGUAUUGGAAAAGAAAGCCAAUGACGCUUCCAAGAUUAGGUGGAUAGAAGCGCCUGAUUGCUUCUGUUUCCAUCUCUGGAACGCAUGGGAAGAGCCUGAGACUGAUGAGUUAGUGGUGAUUGGAUCUUGCAUGACUCCACCAGAUUCCAUUUUCAAUGAAUGUGAUGAGAGUUUAAAGAGUGUUCUCUCAGAAAUCAGGCUAAAUUUGAAGACUGGAAAGUCCACUCGCCGUCCUAUCAUUUCAGGUCCUGAACAGGUAAACUUAGAAGCAGGAAUGGUGAAUCGAAACCUUCUUGGCAGAAAGACCCAGUUUGCAUACUUAGCUCUUGCCGAGCCAUGGCCGAAAGUGUCUGGUUUUGCUAAAGUAGACCUCUCAACAGGAGAGGUACACAAGUAUAUCUAUGGAAACAACAAGUAUGGUGGUGAGCCUCUGUUUCUUCCGAGUGAACCAAACUCCAAUUCAGGCAAAGAAGAUUCUGGGUACAUUUUAUGCUUUGUUCAUGACGAAAAACAGUGGAAAUCAGAGCUACAAAUUGUGAAUGCCAUGAAUUUGCAGCUAGAAGCAACAGUGAAGCUUCCUAGCCGAGUUCCUUAUGGUUUUCAUGGCACGUUUAUUAGUGCUAAGGAUUUGGAGAAGCAAGCCUAGAUAGAGAAGGCUGUGUAGGUAUGAUUUUCUUAGCAGAAGAUUCAGAGAGGAGAUUGACCAGAGGGAUUGUUUGCAGAUACGUCCCCGGGUCUCCUCAUCUGUCACAGUGUCAUCCUGUUUCUGGUUAUUUUUUCUCUUUUGGUUCACAUGUUUCAGAGUGAGAGGCUGAGGGAGCAGCUUGUAGCUUUCUGGGUAUAGGUAGACUGAAGCUCAGCUGGUCUCUGCUUAUUCUUUCACUUGAUGUGCAUAAAAAUAAAAAGGUAUAGAACUCCAAGAGGACAUACAUGUGAUGUGUAUUUUCCUGUAUUUUCUUUGUUUUGAUCUGUAAAU
rnacentral:misc_RNA from 1 species